CUGUCAUUCUACUUCAAAGGGCCGGUAAGGACUUUACUCCUAACCAGGAAUGGAAUGAAAGCAAAGUUGUUUUCUACUCUUUUAACCCACCUAGAGCUGAACUUGUCUACUGUCAAAAGCCAAAGUUUCCAGAUGGCUGUUGGUGAUUAUGCUGGGCUCCUUGGUGGGCAAUCCUGCUCCAUUUUUCUCAACUCUGCUCCUGUCAUUCUGGAAUUCUGUUGUCUCAUUACCCGAACAAACAAUGGUACUUAUUCUCUGAUUGGAAAGUCUAGCCACCUGGGACAUGAGAGACAUGAAAAUUCAGACUUAAAGACUGCACAUUUGCCUUUGAUCAUCUUACAGGGAUUGUAACUUCUUUUGAUGUCUACUAGCAGCUCCAGAAUUAAAUCCUCAACAGAAGAAGAGUUUCUUUCUUCCUAAGAAUUGUGUCUAGUCCUGAGUCACCUGCUGGAGCCAGAGAUGGACCACACCAUGUGAACCGCGUGAGCUGAGAAUAGGAAGGAAUGAUUCCCAAGGGGAAAUCGAGAGCUGUUGCCAAAAGAAGGGGAAUGGAUGCUGGUGAGAGGGGCAUAAGCGCACACUGUGUACUACAGCACUUGUGUUGAUACUGAAAAGGUGAUCUGCUGUAACCAUGGGGACUUGGUGUAACCCCUUUUCAUGAUGAUUAUUCUCUCAUGCACCAUAUUUCCUACAACAAAUGGCUGUAUUUUUUUCUUUUAAUUUUGAAAAGAAUAAAAAAGGAAAAUGCAAAGAACAAUGCAACCAUCACCCAAGGCCCCUCUACCUAGAAUUCGUAAAUGUUAACAUUUUGCCACUUUUGCCGCAGAUUUACAUAAAUGUUUGUAUGAGAAAUCUUACGUAUAUGCAAAAUGAAGUUGCUCUCUCCACAGACCUGUAUCUGUAUUUUCUUUUCUAGAAGCAAUAACUAUAUGAUUUGAUUUUUUACGAACUAUUUAAGACUUACAAAAAGGCAGAUAGACUAACAACACCAAUGCUUUAGUAGUCAUAAUUAAACCUUAGACAUAAGAUAUUGCCAAUUAAAGCCCCUGUGUGCACCUCCCUAACCCCUCUCCUCCCCUUCCACGGAGGGCGGGGGGAGCGGGGAGCACCCGCUAAGCUCAGUGUUUAUCGCUU
rnacentral:lncRNA from 1 species